rnacentral:rRNA from 1 species
AAGAACUACUAGAUUCCCUUAGUAGCUGCGAGCGAACAGGGAAAAGCUCAGCACUGAAUCUCGCGUCCGGUAACGGACGCCGAGAAAUGUGGUGUUAGGGAGGGUGUCCAUUAUCUCGAAAUGAUACAGUGCGUCCAAGUCCUUCUUGAACGGGGCCAUAACCCAUAGAGGGUGCCAGGCCCGUAGUGACCAUUGUUCAUUAUACGAGAGGAUCUCUCCUCAGAGUCGGGUUGCUUGAGAGUGCAGCCCUAAGUGGGUGGUAAACUCCAUCUAAAGCUAAAUAUGACCACGAGACCGAUAGCGAACAAGUACCGUGAGGGAAAGUUGAAAAGCACUUUGAAGAGAGAGUUCAAGAGUACGUGAAACCGUUUAGGGGUAAACCUGAGAAACCCGAAAGGUCGAAUGGGGAAAUUCAUUCGUGUAUCGGCUGACAGAAUUGAAUAGAUGUCUAAGAGACGCACAGUGUUCUUUAUUGAACACACAGCGCUCCUUCUAUUUAAUUGAUAUAACUGUUGUCGAACGCGUGCACUUUUCCCCUAGUAGGACAUCGUGAUCCGUUAGGCGUUGGUCUAAGACAUAUGCGGUGGAGCCCGUAGAUUUGACAUUUUCUAAUGUUGAGACAUUUACGGACCCGUAAUGUUCAUAUCUGGCCAACAUGCUUGACGGUAUAUGAAAGGCGCGAGGCCGCUACUAUUUUAAUAUUAGCGUCUGACCCGUAGCAGGCGCGCCCGAUGCAUGUUGGUGACCGGACCUAGUGCCGGUCCUGACCUCGUGGUGACUGUUGGCUGCGGUGUUCUCAGACAGACCUCGUUUAGAAACAGCAACUGUGUGUUCACACGCAGUUGAUGUGCGCCGAUCUACGAUGCUAUAGCUU